GUGGAUUAGAUACCCUGGUAGUCCACGCCCUAAACGAUGUCAACUAGGUGUUGGGUGGGUAAAACCAUUUAGUACCGGAGCUAACGCGUGAAGUUGACCGCCUGGGGAGUACGGCCGCAAGGUUAAAACUCAAAGGAAUUGACGGGGACCCGCACAAGCGGUGGAUGAUGUGGAUUAAUUCGAUGCAACGCGAACAACCUUACCUACCCUUGACAUGUCCGGAACCCUGCUGAGAGGUGGGGGUGCCCGAAAGGGAAUCGGAACACAGGUGCUGCACGGCCGUCGUCAGCU
rnacentral:rRNA from 1 species